CCAUAAAUUGCAUUAAACUGUAACACUCACUGUGGAAAGUUAAAGCAGGAGUUAAAUUUCGAUGAUUAAAUAUUUACAGCUUAUCUCUGUGAAAAGACUGACGCAUGUAGGAGUAACAAAUCUGUGGAUGAUAUUUUGCCAUAGAUGGUACAAAAAUGCUCCACAGUCUCGUACUUCAAGAAUAUUAUAAAUUAAUAGGGAAGAAAAACUCAUACAAAACACAAAGACUUUGCUACUAUCCAACUUGCCAGGAGUACUAGGUGGUGAGACAUUCCACAGGAGGAAAAUAUCAUCCACAGCAUCACAAAGAAAGAAAUGGCUUGACCCAAAUGCAAACAUGCCUGGCAAGAUGUGUUAUACUUCACAAACCGCUAAUCAGACCAGAGAAUCCAGGAGCGUGAUGCCAGCUCAGCUGAGGCCUGCAGUGUCUGCAGUUAACAUUGUCAAGUCUUCCCUGACUGUAAACAGUUACCUCACAUUACCUCAGAGCAUGAGGCUGUAUUUGUGCGUGAGGGCUGGCCACCACAGCCUCGCUUAGCUGAAAUUCUGGCUUCUGGAAGUCAUUUUCUACCACGUGCAUGCUUCAAUAAAUCUGCAAAAUAACUUAA